AUUUUUUUUUUUUUUUCUUUUUUUUUUGUUAUAAAAAAUUGCAAAGUUAAAAAAGAAAAAAAAACAAAAUUUUAUAAACAAAUGUUAUAGUACGUUCUAUAAAUGUUCUAAAUAAAUGUCAAAAAAAAAAAAAAAAAAAAAUUUAUAAAUGAAUGUGUAUACUUUCUUCAUUCAACAAAAAAAAAAAAAAAAAUUAUUACAUAAAACCCACAUGAGUAUAUUUUCAAUAAUAGACAAAAUUUUUUUUUUUUUUUUUUUUUUUUUUUUUAUUCUUUUUCUUAUGGAAUAUAGUGUCAAUAAAGGUUUUCAAAAAAGCAUUAAGCUAAAAUAAAAAAAAUAAAAAAAUAAAAAAGAUAAUACAAUAAUAAAAUAAAAACAAUCGUACUAUUUGUCCGCUAAGAUACCAAUAUGCAAAUAAAUAUAAAUUACACUGUUCCUAUAUCUACUGUAUAUAUAUAGGCACGUUUAUAACUUCUAUUUAUUUUAUUUUUUUUUUUUUAAAUUAAAAAAGAAAAACAAAAUUGUUAGUAAAUCUAAAAGUAAAAAAAAAAAAAACUUAUAAUUUUUUUUUAUAAAAAAAAUUCUGAGCAUGACAAUAUGAAAAAUAAUAUAUGUGACACUGAAAACAAAAUUAUGGCAAAAUAUAGAACUACUGUUGAAGCAAGUAUGGAAGAAGAUAUAAACAUUUCUUCAAAUGAUAAUAAAUCAGAUAGUAAUUUUUCAGAUAACUCUGAUGACGUAUGUUAUGAAGAUAGUGAAAACAGUAUUAUAAGUGACAAGGAUGUUAAAAAAUCUGUUGAUAGUGGUGGAGAUGUUACUUCAUGGAAAGCUACUGAGGGGGAAGAUACUGAGGGGGGAUAUACUGAAGAGGGGGAGGAUACUGAGGGGGAAUAUACUGAAGAGGGAGAGGAUACUAAAACAAAUGCAGAUGAUGUCUAUAAUAAUAAUAAUAAUAAUAACUUAUCCUUAUUAAAGCAAAUUGACGAUAAUAAAAGUUUUACAUAUAAAAAAGCAAAUAACAACCAUAAAAUUUCUAACUCCGAUUCAUUAAAUGAAGACUCUGAUGAAGACUUGAGUGAAAAUAUAAUAGAACAAGAAGAAUAUAAUACACUAUCACGUGCAGAAGGGAAUAACAACAACAAUAAACCCGUUAGUGGACAAAUGGAAAAGGGGACUGCAAACUAUUACCCAGAUGAAAAAAAAAACGAAUUGUGUAUAGAAAUAAACACAAAAUAAAGAAAUAUAUUUAAAAUGAUAGUUUUAAAAACGAUAAUAAUAAGUUCAGUGUUGUAACAAUUUUGUUUGAAUUUGAAAACGAAUAGGCAACUAAACAGGCAACUAAACAUACAACUAAACAGGCAACUAUGCAUACAACCAAACUGACAAACAAACAAGUUAUAAUUACACAGUAAAAAUAACGGAAUAGAUAAGUAUUAAAAUUAAUCGCAUUUUUUAAAAUUAACAAAUUAUUAGAUUCAAAAAGAAAACAAAAGGAUGCUUCUCAAUUUGAUGGGAAUAAGGAUGUCGUUAUUAUGGAAACAAUACAAAUGUGUGUCAGUAAAAAUGCAUUUUUUGAUGUUGAAAUUGAGGGUAACAACAAUAAAAUAUAACAAAUAAAUAAAUAAAUGAAUAAA
rnacentral:lncRNA from 1 species